AACGAACGCUGGCGGCAUGCCUAACACAUGCAAGUCGAACGAGAACUCCGGGGCUAGCGGCGCAAGUCUGCGUAACGACGGGGAACCUGCCCGUAGGUUCGGAAUAACUCCCCGAAAGGGGUGCCAAUACAGGUUAAUCUCUUCCGACAAAAGACUUAUCGCCUUUGGAUGGGCCCUCGUAGGCUUAGCUGGUUGGUAGGGUAAAACCAUACCAAGGCGACGUGCCCGGGCUGGUCUGGGCGGAGGAUCCGCCGGACUGGCACUGCGACACGGCCCAGACCCCUACGGGAGGCAGCAGUGGGGAAUAUUGGGCGCUGGGCGAAAGCCUGAUCCAGCAGUGUCGCGUGUGUGAUGCAGGCCUUAGUGUUGUACAGCUCUUUUAGCCGGGAUGAUAAUGACAGUACCGGGAGAAUAAGCUCCGGCUAACUCCGUG
rnacentral:rRNA from 1 species